CAAUGCAUCCUGGGAACAGUCAAAGCUUUAUGUAUUCCCUGUGAAAUCCAGUGUACCUCUCAGAAAGAGAUUUAACAACGACAAUGUCGGUCCCUUUGUGGAUGCACCCAGCUGGCUGAGCACAUGGAGCAGAGAGGAACAGUCAUGCUGGCUCUGAUUCCCCUCAUGCUAAGUCUGACGGAGUGGGCAGAGAAGCAGUAUUGUGAAAGCAAGCAACUGUAGUUAUUAUCACCACAUUUUGGAGCACUGUAACUGUAAUUGGAAGGAAAAAGGAAUUGGAGAUAGAAAAAGAGAUUUAUUCGUGUCCACUGAAGCAUGUAUCGUACCUAAAAUGAGCAUUCUGAGGAAUCUGAGCAGCUCCAAACAUUGGGGAUCUGAUCCGAUCCGUUGCUCAGGUGUUCCCACCAGACUCGGAUUCUACUUGAAGGCUGAAUGUCAUCCUCCCGGCGUUGGAUUCUCAUGGGAGUUGGAUUCUAUAUAAGAUGCCGCAGACGGGACUCGUCACCAUUUCACUUAAACGCACACUGCCAAUUGCUGCUUUAUACUCUCCUGUAGUGGCUAUUCUGUAUACAGAGUCUAACAAGUGGCUCAACUGUAUAGUGACUGUGUAUAGGGGGCACACUGCAUGCUGCUGUGUGCUGCACUAUACUCUACUAUACUGGCUGUGCUGUGUCCAGACUCACAAGUGGCUGUGCUGUAUAGUGACUGUGUGUAUAGGGGGCACGCUGCACACUGCUGUGUGCUCCACUAUACUCUGCUACACUAGCUGUGCUGGUACAGAGUCUCACAAGUGGCUGUGCUGUAUAGUAACUGUGUGUAUAGGGGGCACGCUGCACACUGCUGUGUGCUCCACUAUACUCUGCUACACUAGCUGUGCUGGUCCAGAGUCUCACAAGUGGCUGUGCUGUAUAAGUGACUGUGUAUAGAUGACAUGCUACAUGCUGCUGUGUGCUUUGCUAUACUCUACUAUACUGGCUGUGCUGUGUCCAGACUCACAAGUGGCUGUACUGUAUAGUGACUGUGUGUAUAGGGGGCACGCUGCACACUGCUGUGUGCUGCACUAUACUCUGCUACACUAGCUGUGCUGGUCCAGAGUCUCACAAGUGGCUGUGCUGUAUAGUGACUGUGUAUAGAUGGCAUUCUUCACGCUGCUGUGUGCUUCGCUAUACUCUACUAUACUGGCUGUACUGUGUCCAGACUCACAAGUGGCUGUGCUGUAUAGUGACUGUGUAUAGGGGGCAUGCUACACGCCAGAGGCGUCACCGGGGUGUAGUGACACCUGUAGCGCACUCUGUACUAUUACACUGCCCCCCCCCCCCAUCCCGCUCAAGCUGCGGGCUGUGCUGUAUAGUGAUUGUGUAUAGGGAGCAUACUGCUGUGUGCUGUGCUAUACUCCAUGGGGCUAAUUCAGACCUGUUCGCUUGCUAGGUUUUUUUUGCAGUCCUGUGUUUGCAUAGUCGCCGUCCAUGGGGAAGUGUAUUUUCGCUUUGCAAGUGUGCGAACGCAUGUGUAGCAGAGCUGUACAAACAGAUCUUGUGCAGUCUCUGAGUAGCCCAGGACUUACUCAGCCGCUGCGAACAUUUCACUUUGUCCAGCACCGGAAUUGACGUCCGGUCAAACGCUUGGACACGUCUGCAUUUUUCCAAACACUCCCUGAAAACGGUCAGUUGACACCCACAAAUGGCUUCUUCUUGUCAAUCUCAUUGCGAACGCCCGUGCAAACGAAUACUUCGCACAAACCCAUCACUGAGCGGCGUUCAGCUUUGUACCUGUGCAAUGCGCCUGCGUAUUACGGUGCAUAUGUAUGCGCAGUUUAGACCUGAUCGCCUGCUGUACGAAAACGCAGCCUAGCGAUCAGGUCUGAAUUAGCCCCACUGUGUGCUGUAAAUUGUACUGUUUGGUGUGCUUUACCCUAGUGCACUUUGUUUCACGUGCAUCUUUAAGCCCUGUGAUCCACGCAGUUUUAACCAUGCUACAAGUUCAUAAAAU